rnacentral:rRNA from 1 species
UACAGAGGGGGCUAGCGUUGUUCGGAAUCACUGGGUGUAAAGGGUGCGUAGGCGGUCAGUUAAGUCUGAUGUGAAAGCCCUCGGCUCAACUGGGGGAAUGGCAUUGGAAACUAGCUGGCUGGAGUACCGGAGAGGGAAGCGGAAUUCCUGGUGUAGCGGUGAAAUGCGUAGAUACCAGGGAGGAACACCGGUGGCGAAGGCGGCUCUCUGGGGACGGUACUGACGCUGAGACGCGAAAGCGUGGGGGAGCGAACAGG